rnacentral:rRNA from 1 species
UACGAAGGGGGCUAGCGUUGUUCGGAUUUACUGGGCGUAAAGCGCACGUAGGCGGAUCGUUAAGUCGGGGGUGAAAUCCUGGAGCUCAACUCCAGAACUGCCUUCGAUACUGGCGAUCUAGAGUCCGGAAGAGGUGAGUGGAACUCCUAGUGUAGAGGUGGAAUUCGUAGAUAUUAGGAAGAACACCAGUGGCGAAGGCGGCUCACUGGUCCGGUACUGACGCUGAGGCACGAAAGCGUGGGGAGCAAACAGG